rnacentral:rRNA from 1 species
AUACCCUGGUAGUCCACGCUGUAAACGAUGUCGACUUGGAGGUUGUGCCCUUGAGGCGUGGCUUCCGGAGCUAACGCGUUAAGUCGACCGCCUGGGGAGUACGGCCGCAAGGUUAAAACUCAAAUGAAUUGACGGGGGCCCGCACAAGCGGUGGAGCAUGUGGUUUAAUUCGAUGCAACGCGAAGAACCUUACCUACUCUUGACAUCCACGGAAUUCGCCAGAGAUGGCUUAGUGCCUUCGGGAACCGUGAGACAGGUGCUGCAUGGCUGUCGUCAGCUCGUGUUGUGAAAUGUUGGGUUAAGUCCCGCAACGAGCGCAACCCUUAUCCUUUGUUGCCAGCACGUAAUGGUGGGAACUCAAAGGAGACUGCCGGUGAUAAACCGGAGGAAGGUGGGGAUGACGUCAAGUCAUCAUGGCCCUUACGAGUAGGGCUACACACGUGCUACAAUGGCAUAUACAAAGAGAAGCGAACUCGCGAGAGCAAGCGGACCUCAUAAAGUAUGUCGUAGUCCGGAUUGGAGUCUGCAACUCGACUCCAUGAAGUCGGAAUCGCUAGUAAUCGUAGAUCAGAAUGCUACGGUGAAUACGUUCCCGGGCCUUGUACACACCGCCCGUCACACCAUGGGAGUGGGUUGCAAAAGAAGUAGGUAGC